AUUGAACGCUGGCGGCAUUGCCUUACACAUGCAAGUCGAACGGCAGCGGACCUUCGGGUGCCGGCGAGUGGCGAACGGGUGAGUAAUAUAUCGGAACGUACCUUUCAGUGGGGGAGUAACGUAGCGAAAGUUACGCUAAUACCGCAUAUUCUGUGAGCAGGAAAGCAGGGGAGUCGCAAGACCUUGCGCUGAUUGAGCGGCCGAUAUCAGAUUAGCUAGUUGUGAGGUAAAGGCUCACCAAGGCGACGAUCUGUAGCGGGUCUGAGAGGAUGAUCCGCCACACUGGAACUGAGACACGGUCCAGGACUCCUACGGGAGGCGAGCGAGUGGGGAAUUUUGGACAAU
rnacentral:rRNA from 1 species